AGGGGACCCUUUUAACAGCUGCACCUUCCUCUUCCGGCCAAAGAGCCGCCGGGAUAGGUACUUCGCUCCGGCCCCGCCCCGCGACUGAGAGUCACUUCCGGUCUGUGCCUGUCUAGACUCCGAUAGGAACAUGAGCUAGGAGAGAAGGAUCCUGGGCUAAACUGCUCCGGUCCUCAACGUAGUUUGAUGUGGAUCAGACUGGUGGCGUUGAAUUUGGAUGAACAUUCUGCCUUUAUGGACAAGUGCAUCAGCAGGAAGCUGGAUUGGAAGGCGAGGCGGGACUCAAUCCUAGGCGACAACUCCCAAAUGGGAUGCGGAGCCCAAGUAGCAGUGAUUUGCAUUAGCAGGAAGCUGGAGUCGGGGGCCACAGCCAGGACUCAAAUCGAGGCACAACGCAGGCAUCCUAACCAAUGUCUUAACCACCAGGCUUAGGCACCUGCCCCAAGAGUAUAUGUUCUCGUAAGUCUAAUAUCACUCAUUACAAAUAGCUAUGUUUGUACUUGAGAGUUGUAUGAUCUGUUGUAUGUGAAAAACAAGAAUGUUGAACCAACUAGCCAGCCAGAGGAAGUCCCAGAGAGCAGCAGAGUCCUGGUGCGUGGGGAACACGGGGUGGAGUUCCGUCUCUCAGCCGACAGGGGGAGCUGCAGACAGGCCCCUGGCAUUUGCAGACGUUCUAGCAUGCAGAGUGGGGUAGACAGUACUAUGAGAACAGGAAAUGCAUAGGUCUCGUGCAGACUUGAGGGAUAAUAAAGA